rnacentral:rRNA from 1 species
AUACGUAGGGGGCGAGCGUUGUCCGGAAUGAUUGGGCGUAAAGGGCGCGUAGGCGGCCCGGUAAGUCUGGAGUGAAAGUCCUGCUUUUAAGGUGGGAAUUGCUUUGGAUACUGUCGGGCUUGAGUGCAGGAGAGGUAAGUGGAAUUCCCAGUGUAGCGGUGAAAUGCGUAGAGAUUGGGAGGAACACCAGUGGCGAAGGCGACUUACUGGACUGUAACUGACGCUGAGGCGCGAAAGUGUGGGGAGCAAACAGGAUUAGAUACCCUGGUAGUCCACGCUGUAAACGAUGAAUACUAGGUGUGGGAGGACUGACCCCUUCCGUGCCGCAGUUAACACAAUAAGUAUUCCACCUGGGGAGUACGAUCGCAAGAUUGAAACUCAAAGGAAUUGACGGGG